rnacentral:rRNA from 1 species
UGCCGCGUGAGUGAAGAAGGCCUUCGGGUUGUAAAGCUCUUUUGUCAGGGAAGAAAAGGCUGUGGCUAAUAUCUACAGCUGCUGACGGUACCUGAAGAAUAAGCACCGGCUAACUACGUGCCAGCAGCCGCGGUAAUACGUAGGGUGCAAGCGUUAAUCGGAAUUACUGGGCGUAAAGCGUGCGCAGGCGGUUUCGUAAGUCUGUCGUGAAAUCCCCGGGCUUAACCUGGGAAUGGCGAUGGAGACUGCGAGGCUAGAGUUUGGCAGAGGGGGGUAGAAUUCCACGUGUAGCAGUGAAAUGCGUAGAGAUGUGGAGGAACACCGAUGGCGAAGGCAGCCCCCUGGGUCAAAACUGACGCUCAUGCACGAAAGCGUGGGGAGCAAACAGGAUUAGAUACCCUGGUAGUCCACGCCCUAAACGAUGUCUACUAGUUGUUGGGUCUUAAUUGACUUAGUAACGCAGCUGACGCGUGAAGUAGACCGCCUGGGGAGUACGGUCGCAAGAUUAAAACUCAAAGGAAUUGACGGGGACCCGCACAAGCGGUGGAUGAUGUGGAUUAAUUCGAUGCAACGCGAAAAACCUUACCUACCCUUGACAUGGAUGGAAUCCCGGAGAGAU